GACGUAGGGCGCGAGCGUUGUCCGGAUUAUUGGGCGUAAAGAGCUCGUAGGCGGCUUGUCGCGUCGAAUGUGAAAACCCACGGCUCAACUGUGGGCUUGCAUUCGAUACGGGCAGGCGUAGAGUUCGGUAGGGGAGACUGGAAUUCCGGGUGUAGCGGUGGAAUGCGUAGAGAUCCGGAGGAAUACCAGAGGCGAAGGCGGCCAACUGGACUUGUACUGACGCUGAGGUGCGAAAGCGUGGGAGCGAACGAGG
rnacentral:rRNA from 1 species